UACGUAGGGGGCAAGCGUUGUUCGGAAUUAUUGGGCGUAAAGAGCGCGCAGGUGGUUAAUUAAGUCAGAUGUGAAAGCCCACGGCUUAACCGUGGAGGGUCAUUGGAAACUGGUUGACUUGAGUGCAGAAGAGGGAAGUGGAAUUCCAUGUGUAGCGGUGAAAUGCGUAGAGAUAUGGAGGAACACCAGUGGCGAAGGCGGCUUCCUGGUCUGCAACUGACACUGAGGCGCGAAAGCGUGGGGAGCAAACAGG
rnacentral:rRNA from 1 species